rnacentral:rRNA from 1 species
ACGAACGCUGGCGGCGUGCUUAACACAUGCAAGUCGAGCGGUAAGGCCCUUUCGGGGGUACGACGAGCGGCGAACGGGUGAGUAACACGUGGGUGACCUGCCCUUAGCUCUGGGAUAAGCCUGGGAAACUGGGUCUAACGCCGGAUAUGACUCCAUGACGCAUGUUGUGGGGUGGAAAGCCUUGUGCGGCUAGGGAUGGGCCUGCGGCCUCUCAGCUUGUUGGUGGGGUGAUGGCCACCAAGGCGACGACGGGUAGCCGGCCUGAGAGGGCGACCGGCCACACUGGGACUGAGACACGGCCCAGACUCCUACGGGAGGCAGCAGUGGGGAAUCUUGCGCAAUGGGCGAAAGCCUGACGCAGCGACGCCGCGUGGGGA